GGGGAUGGACUUUAAGAACCUCAUCCUAGCUGCCUGGAAGCCAGUAUUAUGCUAGCAGCCUUCAGAUGAAGAUGUAGACCUCUGAGAGAUUCCUCCACAUGCCUGUCUGGACGCUGCCAUGCUCCUGCUAUGAUGACAAUGGACUGAACCUCUGAACUGCCUAGCUGCUGUGUAGCAAUUUCCUCUCAGCUGAAACAUUCCAUCUGAGAAAGAGACUCCUUAAAACGGACUCAGAAAGCACGUAACCCCAGAUUCAGCAAGUCCCUCCGUCCUCAAGGCUGUAUAAGCAGAAAGGGGAAAGGUGAGUCCGUUCUGUGGUUCUACCUCAGGUGAGCUACCUGCCUGCUGAGGAGGGGGGCUGUGCAGUUUGAAGGCAUUUACCCACAAAUCUGGCAGGUUUUCCAGCAGGACCUUUAAGGAACAAGGUCCUUUCCUUGAAACCUCUCCAGAUCUGACUUGGCCAAGAGAAGCAGGGCUGUCAAAUGCAAACCGAAAGGGUCCAUGAAGCUUGUGACUUAGGAGGUUGGAAGAUCAAAGACUGCAUACGGAAUAUUCAGAUCUCCCUUGCUUACCUUGUAACCUUGACCAACUGCAGUCUUGCUUUAACUGCAGCACGGCCUUGUCUUUUUUUGGCCCUUUUCUAAGGUCUGCCCCUGGAGCAGGAGCCCAAAUAAAGGCCAGGAUUCUGCUGUGCUCGCGGAAGAAAGAGCUGACUUCCCCAUUUGGCAUGGAAAAUUGCGGUAUUCGGAAUGUCUGUGCUCCCAACAUGCUCCUGCCUGGAAAACCUGACUCUCAAAAGGAUGGAUUAGGAGGUGGAGCUGUUGUGACAUUGAAUCAGGUGGUGAAUGGCACCAGUGAUGAGAGCUGUGUGCUGUGUGUGUGCUGUGUGCUGUGUGUGUGUGUGUGUGUGUGUGUGUGUGUGUGUGUGUGUGUGUGUGUGUGUGUGUAUGAAAGGACUCAGGGAGAAGUUCGUCAUUUGCAAGCCAGAAAGAGUCCUCAUCAUGAACUGGCUCUGCCAGUAUCUUGAGCUGUUGAACUGUGAAGAAUAAAUACCUUUCUGUUGGUUAAACUUACCAGUCUAUGAUAUUUUGUUACAGGGUCAACUGAGCCAUCCAAAAUACCAUUAAAUCAUGUUUAUAUUUCUCACCAGUGUAUCUCUUACAACAGUCCAGAUUGAUUACCGUAUAAACAAUCAUCCCCAAAUCUAGUGACUUCAAACAGCAUCACUGAGUUAGAGCAUGCCCUGCACUUGGGGACAAGGUCCACGAGGCAGCCGGAUGCUGCUCUAGAAUACCUGGAACUCAGCUUGGAGGACACAAAGACUGUUGCUGGAAUGAUUUGAGGGGUUGCAUAUUUGACAUCGUGGUGAGUGAUGCUGGCUAUCUGCUAGGACACCUAAGGGUGACCUCUUCAUACAGGCUAGUGAGGGCUACCAUACAGCAUGGCUACUGAGCUCCAAGUGUGGAGAUCUCGAGAGAGAGAGAGAGAGAGGCAAAGGUGUAGCCUCCUUAUCUCUUUCCUGCCAUGCUGGAGAUAGGACAGAGGGAUCCCCACACUCUGAGUACAAGGCUUCGAAGCCCAGAACUGCUGUCUGUACUGAGCACUUAGGGCCUUGUGCUCUGGUAAUGCCAGAUCCUUGACUACACCACAGAAAAGAAUUUCAGUGAAGUAGAGUGAAGCAGUUGGCAAGUUUUCUAGGGAGAGAUAAAGAGACUGUAUAUAGUUCAGUGUAGGUACUGAGACAGAGAGACAGACAGACAGACAGACAGACUAAAGAAGGGACAGCACACACCUCUAAAAUGUGACCUUCUCAAAAUGGUAGCAUGCUUUGAUGUCUUUGUUAUGACUGUGUAUGUGAAUCCAUGUCUUUUACAGUUAUUGCUCAAGGGAUGCAAUUUACAAUAAGGUUUAAAGGCUGGAUUUUUAUAUUGUGUAUGUGUGUUAGUCUGUAUCUAGGUGUGUGCACCUGGGUAAAAGUGCCCACAGAAGCCGGAUGAACUGGGUGCUCCUGGAACUAGAAUUACAAAUGGCUGUAAGCCCCCUAACAUGGUUGCUGGGAAUUGACCUCAGGUCCUCUGGAGCCUGUUCUUAACUGAUGGGCCUCCAGCCCCUACUCUUGAACUUUUGGCGGGGGGGAGAAUUACAUUUACUUGGUACGUGUGUACCUGAGUGUGGAAGUGCACGUGACUCCUGUGGAGGUUGGAGGACAACUUGCAAAAGUCUGUUCCCUCCUUCUACUCUGUAGGUCCUGGUGAUCAAUGCUUGAGGCUUGGCAGCAAGCACCUUUCCCACUGAGCUCUCUCUCCAGCACCACUUCUUGCUGGGAAUUGAACUCAUGACCUCUGGAAGAGCGGUCGGGCGCUCUUAACCGCUGAGCCAUCUCUCCAGCCCGUCCAGCACCACUUCUUAUUGGAAGGUGAUUGUAGGAGGUUGUGUUUAGGAAUGAGAGAAGAGAGCUGGCACAGUUAUGAGCAAGGUCAUAAACACUCUGACCCUAAGUGUUGAAAUGCACUGCAUUAGUGCUUUGUGACCUUCUUUGACAUAUCUUUGAAUGGUCUCUACAGAUUGUAACUUUAAUUUUUUUUCAAUGCCUACUUUUAAUGCUGGUUCUUAAAUGCUUUAACCUCCCUUCUAGACCACCACCCACCAGAGGUAGUAAAAACGAAAGGAUACAAGAGAUGUGGACCUGUUUAGAAAUGGUUCUUUGGAAAUGUCUGUGUUGGCUGCAAAUCCACAGUUCAGUUCACAGAUUUGCAGAAACAGCUCAAUCCAGUCGCAAACACUUAACGGAUAUAUGCACAGUUCAGCUUGGUAGAGUCGGGAUAGCAAACACAAAUCAGCAGCAGGGACACUACCUAGCCGAGAAGCCAGGCCUCAGCCUCGACAUCAGUCAACAGCAGGGGGGGCCAGCAGGAAUGCUAAGAGCCGUUCUUGGCUAUGCCUCUGUCAGCGAAGCCAAGAGUAUCGAAGAGUCAAGACCAACAAGCAUAGCACAGCUAGCUCUAUAAGCAAGCCUAGCUCAGCCUCCGCCAUUGUCCAUCGAGUUCCAUCGAUGGCCAUGUGUCCUCCGAGCAUCUAGUCUCAGCACGUGCAUCUGUCUCAGAUGACAUCACUCUUCCAAUCAGCUCAAGUCCACAGAGACAACAAGGAACUACAGCACACCACCAAAAGUUUCUUGAUACAUUUCUCGCUAUAAAGUCCUAACAAAUAGAGCUCAACUACAUAAUGUAAUACAGACCAAUACAUGCAUGUCAUUAGAAAUAAAUCCUUUAUCACAUGUCUUUUCACAUGCUCACUUUCACCUGUGUCUGCUUCAAUGCCUUAGAUUUUCAACUAUUGUCUACUUCAAGGAAAAAAAAAAAAACACUCCUUCAUGUGUUUGCCCUAGCAAAACACCAUCCAACACAACUGACUUUUCAAAGAACCCUUAAGUUUCCACUUCAUUGGGUGACUUUGACUUGGGCAUUUGUAUUGAAACUUCUGACUCAAAAUGAGACCCCGGAGUAAAGGGACCCUUUCUGCUCCCAUGCCCCUCAAUUCUCUCUGUCCUUUUCCUGCCUCCAUACAGCUAAGUUGCAGCUCAGCCCUAAACCUUUGACCUGGCAACUGUAACUUUUUUUUCUUUAUUGCUAGAAGAAGGAACAUAACAGAGGAAGCAUGUGUCAUGGCUGACGGUUUGGGGAGAUGUGGUCUGGUAUACUGGGAAGUCAAGAUGGUAUGUGGCUUCAUAGUGGCUUCAUGCUUAUGAGACCUUUCUUUCUUUCACACCUCAGGCAGGCAGAGCAGGAGGCAGAAAAGGGACAGGAAGUGAGGCCAGGCUAUAAAACUUAAGGUUAGCUGCCCAGCAGUCUACUUCCUCCAAGUAAGCCCCCCUCAUAAAAGUUCCACAGCCACGUGGGGAAAGGAGAGAACCAGCUCGUGCCAGUUAUCCUCUGAAGUGGUCUACUACCUCAAAAAUAAUUUUUUAUUUUUUUAAAAAGUUACCAAAGAAAAGUGUAAAAAUGCAUCUCCUGUAACACAGGAACUUUCACAAGGAACUGAAAAUCCGAAGAAAAUGUUAAAAUUGGUGCUUUUAUACUGGGCUUGAUGUAGGGUAGAUAAUGGUGAGAAAACGUCUUAGAACAAAGUGGCGGCACCUUAGAACAAAGAAGCUAUGGUGGCAAGUCCUGUUCCUUUGGAGUUUUCUGGGUGGCCCUCCAUCUUGAGAAAUAAGAGGGGAUGAGUUCUGUCCUGGGUGACUAGGAGGAGCAUCUCCCACCUGAGGGUCUUGUGACCCGCUGUAAGGUCACAAAAGAGUUCAGAGUCUGUCUUGCAAUCAACAUGUCUCACCUUAAAAGAAAUCAUGCUAAGAAAUCAUGCUAGCAUAUGCUGAAUCCUUCUGAGAAAUACAUACUUGGGGCUGAAGAGAUAGAUGGCUAGGCCAUUAAGAACUAAGUUUGGUUUCUAGCACACAUGUCAGAUGGCUCAACACCACCUAUAACUUCACCUCCAGGGAAUGCAACAACCCCUUGUGACCUCUGAGGUCACUGGCAUGCCCAGGCACACACCUACACAUAUAUAAAUACAUGUCUGGGAAAAAAGAUGCACGUGAUUAUGGGGCUCGGCAAGCUUGAAGUUGGCUGCAUAAGCUGUAGGCUGGGAGCUCAGACCGGAGCUGGUGCAGCAGUGUCCAGUUCAUGGGGUCACAUGGAGACUCUGACAGGAGUUAAAACAGGGGUCUCACUGUAUGUUCUAGGCUGUCCUCAAACUCAUGAUCCUUCUGCCUCACUCUGCAGAGUGGCUAGAAUUUUAAGUUUGUGUCACCUCAUUAGCCUGAUGUUAUUAUAAUCACGACUCUGAAAUGCCCAGGACACCCUGCAGGCUGGCGACUCAGUCAAUGGCUUGGAAGUUUGUCUUGAGGGAGAAUUCUUGCUUCUUUGGGCAAAGCUUUGAAUUGCUCCGAGGAGGUACACUCAUAUUGUGGAGGGUGGUCUCUUACGGUAGGCUGUCUGCCGCCUAUAGAUAAAAAUGACAUACACAAAGCGCCUUCACCCAUACAGUAGUGUUGGAACACAGAACCGGGCUCUGCAGCCCAGCCAAAUGGCCAUGUGAGAUCCAGGAAACUCAUUCACCCAGUCUGAAUCAGCUCUUCUGCUCCCAAGGCUGCUGGAGAGUAACAUGAGAAGCAGCCUGCGCUUCUGACAUAGUGUCCUCAUGAGUCUGGGUUACACAGAUCGACUCAUCAGGGUUGGCCUUUGAAGCCCUUUGAUUUCAUCUUGUCCACCUGUCCUGCUUUCUCCUCAGAGCCUUCCUGUGAACUGGCUCUAUGCAGGCUUCAUGUCUUCAUGUGGCAAAGAGUGGAUGUCUCCAGCUAACAGCUGAUGUGUACCCUCCCUGACACACACACACACAGACACACACACACAGAGAGAGAGAGAGAGAGAGAGAGAGAGAGAGCGCCAGCUAAGUCCCACCUAGACUCCUGAGCCGAGGAAAGUGGAAAAUGACAGACAGUCAGUUGUUUCCUAAGCAGCUAAGUCUGGAACUAAGUGCUAUGGUGAGAUAGAUAAGUAAGUAACAGUCCCGUGGAAAGGAAGGCCUACACAGACCCUGGCACAUUGCAGGUGCUUGUCUUGCUUACUUCUCUGAUUGUCGUGACCAAAUACCUGGCAAGAAGCAACCAGCAGGAGGAUGGUGGCAGGAAAGAUAUGGUGGCAGGAAUGGGAGAUGGCUGUCACAUGGAGAUCACCGUCAGAAAUCAGAGACUGAAAAGGAAGUGAACUCACUCUCAAGCCUCAGAAUCCACCCUUCCCGCCCCCACCCCAGAGAACCUCCUGCAGCAAGGACCCACCUUUUAAAGGAUCCACAUCCUUCCAAAACAGCACCACCAGCUGGGGAUCAAGUAUUCUACACGUGUCCACAGGGGACAGCUCACAUAAACCACCAUAGCGCUUAAUAUGUGUGACUGGAAUUUGAGUCCAACCGAGUAAUGGCUUUGUUGAAAGGCCUCCCUCGAGAGGACUUGCAUUUUCAUGAAGAUUCUACCCUAAGGGAAUGAUUUUGUUAUGGGAAAAUUUUCCAGCAGAGCCAUGGGAGGAAGGGUAUGCUUGAGACCACAUGGGGUCACAUACACAAGUAGUGAUCAGUUUUAGUUCUGGGCAAGGUGAGGCAG